GCCAGGAUGGCGGAAUUGGCAGACGCGCACGGUUCAGGGCCGUGUCCCUUUUCGGGGUGUGGGUUCAACUCCCGCUCCUGGCA
rnacentral:tRNA from 1 species